rnacentral:rRNA from 1 species
UACAGAGGUCUCAAGCGUUGUUCGGAUUCAUUGGGCGUAAAGGGUGCGUAGGCGGCGCGGUAAGUCGGGUGUGAAAUCUCGGGCUUAACUCCGAAACUGCAUUCGAUACUGCCGUGCUUGAGGACUGGAGAGGAGACUGGAAUUUACGGUGUAGCGGUGAAAUGCGUAGAUAGUCGUAAGGAAGACCAGUGGCGAAGGCGGGUCUGCGUGGACAGUCCUGACGCUGAGGCACGAAGGUCAGGGGACGCAAACGGG